rnacentral:rRNA from 2 species
UACGGAAGGUGCGAGCGUUAAUCGGAAUUACUGGGCGUAAAGCGCACGUAGGUGGUUUUAUAAGUCGGAUGUGAAAGCCCCGGGCUUAACCUGGGAAUUGCAUCUGAUACUGUCUGACUAGAGUAUGCUAGAGGGAAGUGGAAUUCCAGGUGUAGCGGUGAAAUGCGUAGAUAUCUGGAGGAACACCAAUGGCGAAGGCAACUUCCUGGGGCAAUACUGACACUGAUGUGCGAAAGCGUGGGGAGCAAAC